GCAGACCACGUUAGAACCUCGGCUCCUGGAGUAGCAGAACCUCGGCUUCAAUGGGACCCUCAUUUCAUAAAUGAAGAAACUGAGAUUCAAAGAGGGGAACUACCGAAGGUUACAGAGCGAGUUCGUGGGUAAGCAUGAUGGGGAAACUGAGCCUCACAUGUAUGAAUUCCAGCAUAUAAGCAACAGACUCCAGAUUUGGACAUGUAUAUCUUAUUCCAGGCUUCCCAGAUGACCACCAAGGUGGAAGGGAUGAUGAUGUCCAGGCAGAAGGGAGCUAGGCCGGCCCAGGCUUUUCCUCUAGGCACAGCGGACUCCAGGUUCAGCCUUCCCGGAUGAGGUGCAGAGUGGUUGGUGACUUCUCCUGGGCCAUGAGGACAGUCAGUUAAAGUCCUGGCUACCUAUCCCUGAGCCCACAUAUCCUAUGGCUUCACGGAAGGUCCCACCUCCCAAGAAGGGGCUAGUGGCAGGGAAGUUGAGAAACAGAGAGACGGAAAGGUGGCAUAAAACCAAAGAGGGGGACACUGGAGAGGAGCCAGCAAGAGGCCAGGCUGGGGAUGUCAGAGAAGAGGAAAACAGAGAUGAAGCCACAGGCCUGGGGACAAGGGAAGAUGAGAGACAGGAGAUGGAACCCCUUCCCAGACCUGGUGAUGAGGAGGAGGCUCUGAGCAGUCCUAGCCAGGCCCCAGAGAAGCCAUUCCCUUCCUUUGACAGAUGCCACCUGUGUACGCCCCUGCCCGCGAAGAAGUUAACAAAUCACCACCACCACCCUGCCCUGGCCUGGUUGCUGUUGACGUUCAGUCUCCAGGAUGCAUCAUUUUCUUGGAUUUUAAUAGAUAAUUGCCUCGGCCAGACCCUGCAGAGCAAAUUGCCAGCAAAUGUUCAUUGAACACUUUAAAAAUCGAGGGGAAGAGGAGAGGGCUUGGAGGCAGCAUGUGGGGAGAGGUCAACCUCUAAAGUGCCAGCUCUCCAGAAAUGCAGCCGGAAUGAAGGCUUUAUUUGAGGAGCCUGGCAGUCCUAUAAGGGGAAACCCACCUAUUACUUCAAGCAAAGCUGAUGCAGAGAGAUGAGCCAAUUGAGCAGGAGACAAUGUAAGCAGCUGUGGGGGUGUCGAGUACUCCCUCCUGCCUGUGGGAGCUGCACCGUGGAGUCUAGCUUGUCACCCUCCGGAGGCAGAGCCCCUCCUCCCUGCCUCCUCUUGGUCUAGAUGGACAGCCAUGGCAGCGGAGGCUGCAGAGCUGAGCAGGUGAUACUGGGCAGCGACCCUGCUGCGGGCAGCGUCCACACCCCACAGCUCUUUACUGCAUUUAUUUAACAAGCGACAUUGAGCCAGCAAUCUCUGCUGAAAAGUGCUCAGCCCUGGAGAGAGAACUGUGAACAACGUGGACACAGCUCCUGCUUUGUGGAGCUUGGUGUCUGACUGGGGUAAAAAUAAACAAGCAGUUACAACACA
rnacentral:lncRNA from 1 species